rnacentral:lncRNA from 1 species
AGUACUAUCCGGACUCCUCCAGCAGUCGACCCUCCAUAGUGUCCUCCAGAUUUCUCCAACAGACGAACUCCUAUCGUACCCUCCAGACUUCUCCGAUAAUGAGCUCCUUCAGUCGUCUAUCGGACUGCUCCAAAUACUCUCUGGGCUUCACUAUCAGCCAAUUUUUUACAGUGAUCGACUACUCUCCGAAUCUCUUUCAAACUUCCUCCUAUCACG